UUUUCAUGUGGUGCCUUUUGGCUUUUUAACAAACCAAAAUGUAACAGCCCACCUUCUUAUAUUCUAAUGUAAUGAACUCUUUCCACAGCUCUGUCUGAUGCCUCUUGGCUUCUCUGAGAGAUCCUAUUCCUAAUUUAAUGAGUUCCUCUUCACAUCAUAAUGUAAUUAAUACUGCCUUUUACAGCAUAUCCUCACACAUCAGUGCCAAAUCUUCCCUAGCAAAGCUAUAGUUUUUUCUCAUCUUCAAAUGACUUUCCUUACUUUCAGUUUGUGACCAUUGCCUCCCAUACUGUCACUGGGCACCCGUGAGAAGAGCCUUUUCUUGACUCCUUCUCUUCCCCAUCAGGAAAGGAGCAUUUCCUUGUCUGCCCUGGUAAAUGGUUCUCCUACAGCCCCACGUGACGUGUCCUGUCUGCCAGCCAAGGAGGGCUGGCUGUGACAGCUUCAUGGCCCCUCAGCUCUGCUCCUCACAAUGAGCGUGAGCCUUGACAAGUCUGGAGGUCCAGCGGUGUCCAGCUGACUUGUGUGCUCUCUGGCAGUUGGGAACCAGCGCAGCGUCUGCCUGCAGCGUUUCCAGUGGUUGGAGGAGGACGAAAAGUGCACAGCCUCUGCUGCAUGAAGCUGACUUCCUGGGAUUGCUGAACGGCUGCCUUUUGCCACCUCCUGCCUGUCGCAUCGAACACCAGGGCGAAUUGGGUGGCUCUACAUGUAACACUACAACAAACGUGAAAGACGAAGACCCAUCCCUGCGGAGCGGCACUACUCCCUCCACGUUCUCCAGAACCAUCGGCGCAACCUGGGCCUGGUGGGCGGCACAUCUUCCAGCACGCUGAGGAUCAGCAGUGUCUGCAGCACCAGACAGCGCACGGCCGGCUCGCUGUCCUCCUUGGCUCCCUCCAGGGCUGCAAUGGAGCGGUGCUGUGUCACCACGUGGGCCCCACACGGCACUUCCUGGGGCACGGGGCAGCGGGGGGGGAUGGCUCACCUUUACGGAUGUCCGACAUCUUCU
ensembl:lncRNA